AAGUCGUAACAAGGUUUCCGUAGGUGAACCUGCGGAAGGAUCAUUAGUGAGCCGAGAGGCGUAAAAUCAAACCUCUGUGCAUCGUACCUUACAACAACCAGUGUGACGAACGUGAUACAAUAGAAACAAAACUUUCAACAACGGAUCUCUUGGCUCUC
rnacentral:misc_RNA from 1 species